rnacentral:sRNA from 1 species
GAGGGCAAUGCCUGCCCAGUUAAGAAGAAUGGAAGAAUCUCAUCAAGAAGCAACAGAGAAAGAAGUAGAAAGAAUCUUGGGAUUGUUGCAGACAUAUUUUCGAGAAGAUCCUGAUACCCCAAUGUCCUUCUUUGACUUUGUGGUUGAUCCUCAUUCUUUCCCCCGUACAGUGGAAAACAUCUUUCAUGUUUCCUUCAUUAUACGGGAUGGUUUUGCAAGAAUAAGACUUGACCAAGACCGACUGCCAAUAAUAGGUAAAUGAUAUUAUGUUUGGAAAAAUUAGUUUUAGAGAAAAUAUAUUUGUUAGUAGAAUUUAAGUAUUUUACUAAAUGUAAAUGAAUUUUCAAUGUAGAUUAACUUUUACAAUAUUGUAUCUUCCUCAACUACCUGAAUAUACUGAAAACAUGGCCAGCGUCUACAAUUUUGAUGGAUUCAUCUAUAUCAUUGAUUAAACAUCUGCUGUAAAUAUUAACAAAGAAAUGAUAUAAUUUCCCUCAGAUCUUAAUUUAGAAAGUUGGUGAUUGCAGUCAUUUUUGUAGUAUCCCUCUUUCUAAUCACGUUUUGUCAAAUGCCAGCACCUUCUUUUCUCCUUGAGGUUCUAUGAAUCUUUCAUUCUUCCCUGAAUAAUUUCACAGUCUCCAUUACUCAUGUCGUCCUAAGGUCUCCUGUGGAGAGUGAAUAUUUCCAUCGCACU